rnacentral:rRNA from 1 species
CACGCCGUAAACGAUGACAACUAGCUGUCGGGGCACUUGGUGCUUCGGUGGCGCAGCUAACGCAUUAAGUUGUCCGCCUGGGGAGUACGGCCGCAAGGUUAAAACUCAAAGGAAUUGACGGGGGCCUGCACAAGCGGUGGAGCAUGUGGUUUAAUUCGAAGCAACGCGCAGAACCUUACCAGCGUUUGACAUGGUAGGACGACUUCCAGAGAUGGAUUUCUCCCUUCGGGGCCUACACACAGGUGC